rnacentral:rRNA from 1 species
UCAGCCCUAAACACAAAUAAUUAUAAAAACAAAAUUAUUCGCCAGAGUACUACCGGCAACAGCCUAAAACUCAAAGGACUUGGCGGUGCUUUACACCCUUCUAGAGGAGCCUGUUCUAUAAUCGAUAAACCCCGAUAGACCUCACCAAUUCUUGCUAAUACAGUCUAUAUACCGCCAUCUUCAGCAAACCCUAAAAAGGAACAAAAGUAAGCAUAAUCACAGCACAUAAAAACGUUAGGUCAAGGUGUAACCUAUGAAAUGGGAAGAAAUGGGCUACAUUUUCUACCACAAGAAAAUCACACGAAAGUUAUUAUGAAACUAAUAACCAAAGGAGGAUUUAGUAGUAAACUAAGAAUAGAG